GCCCAUUCCACUGAGUCCUCCCUUCUCGCAAUGCGCGUAAUGACACCUCACAAACAAACCUCACUUCAGUAUGUUAACACUCAAUGGACAUCCCACAGAACCUCUACCACACCCUCUUGCCAUCCAGGGCUCUCCAUGCCUUGAUCACCUUCUUUUCCUGCCAUGGCAGUGUUCACACGUAGAGGUCAGAGGAAAUUUGGAAACAAGCAGUGCACGGACAGUGUUGUUGCCAUCUGCUGACAGUGCCCCCAUGCCCCACUCCUGGAGGGGACAGUGGGGCUAGCCAUGAAUGGAGCACAACCAUCCUGUCCCAGGGAGCACAAAGAGGUGAUUCCUGCCAGGAAGUGAAGGUGAGGAACUGAGCAAAAGGUUGUUCAUUGCUGGGACCUCAAGAGAACACAUGCCGUCAACAAGAAGCAUAGGUGUCCUGCACUGGUUGAAUGGAAAAUUGUCCUUCCUCCAUUGA